rnacentral:lncRNA from 1 species
UUGGGAUGCUAGAAAAGACAAUCCCUUUUCUGGAUUAGGAAGUUUACAUUUUAAAGAUGCAAGAAGGCACUAAACAAGGGCAGUGAGGUACAACAAGCUCUGUGGUUUUAUUUCUCCUAAAUGGGAGGAAACAUAGAGAGGAAGAAAAGUAUGCAAUCUCAGUUGCAAAUGGAGGCAGGGGCUCACCAUGUUCUCUGAUACGAUUGUACCGCCCAUUGGUAAGAAUCAGAGGCUGAAAAGAUUCUGUUACUGAAACUCAACACUUAGUUGAUACCUGCUACAACUUUAACUACUCGUUGACUGUUUACGGCUUUUGCUGUAAGUUGGAGUAUGGUGACAAACACACAAAAUUAUUUGAUCUUCCUGUUGAGCUCUAGCUAAGGGUUCUUCAUAUAUUCUGGAUAUUAGACCUUCAUCAGAUAUGUGAUUUACAAAUAUUUUUUCCCAUUUGUUUGUUACCUUUUCACUAUCUUGAUACUCUACUUUGAGGUGAAAAUGCUUUUAAAUUCGAUGAAGUCCAAUUUAUCUAUUUUUUCUUUGAUUUCUUGUGCUUUUGGUAUUAUGUUUAAAUAUUGCAUUUCUAGAAUAAAUGUCAUGAAUAAUUAUACUGAUGAUUUCUUCUAAGAGUUUUAUAGUUUUAAUGCUUAUUUUUAGUUAUUUGAUUUAUUUGGGGUCUAUUUUUACAUAUAAUGUGAGGAAGGAUUACAACUUCCUUCUUUUUCAUGUAGAUAUGCAGAUGUUUGCAGCACCAUAUGUCAAAAAAAUCUCUUCUUUCCUCAUAAAAUUUUCUUGACACUCUUGUUAAAAUUCAAUUGACCAUAAAUGUAUGGGUUUAUUACAGUACUUAUAUUUCUAUUUCAUUGAUUUAUACAUCUAUCCUAUGCAAGUACCACAAAGUCUUGAUUACAGCAGUUUUAUAGUAAGCUUUGGAAUUGGCGAGUAUAUGUUUUCAAACUUAUUACUUUCCAAGAUUGUUUAGAUAAUUCUCAGUUCUUUUGUAUUUAAAUUUUUGCAUCAGUAUGUUAAUUUAUGCAAAAAAUGCAUUUGGGACUUGACAAGAUUUUGUUAAAUAUGUGGAUGAAGUUUUAGAGUAUUACAUCUUAACAAGUCUUUAAUCCAUG